rnacentral:rRNA from 1 species
UACGAAGGGGGGCUAGCGUUGCUCGGAAUCACUGGGCGUAAAGGGCGCGUAGGCGGCCGUUCAAGUCGGGGGUGAAAGCCUGUGGCUCAACCACAGAAUGGCCCUCGAUACUGGAUGGCUCGAGACCGGAAGAGGUUGGUGGAACUGCGAGUGUAGAGGUGAAAUUCGUAGAUAUUCGCAAGAACACCAGUGGCGAAGGCGGCCAACUGGUCCGGUUCUGACGCUGAGGCGCGAAAGCGUGGGGAGCAAACAGG